GGAGAGAUGGCAGAGUGGUCGAUUGCGGCGGUCUUGAAAACCGUUGUGCCGCGAGGCACCCGGGGUUCGAAUCCCUGUCUCUCCG
rnacentral:tRNA from 1 species